rnacentral:rRNA from 1 species
GAUGAACGCUGGCGGCGUGCCUAAUACAUGCAAGUCGAGCGAACGGACGAGAAGCUUGCUUCUCUGAUGUUAGCGGCGGACGUGUGAGUAACACGUGGAUAACCUACCUAUACGACUGGGAUAACUUCGGGAAACCGGAGCUAAUACCGGAUGAUAUUUUGAACCGCAUGGUUCAAAAGUGAAAGACGGUCUUGCUGUCACUUAUAGAUGGAUCCGCGCUGCAUUAGCUAGUUGGUAAGGUAACGGCUUACCAAGGCAACGAUACAUAGCCGACCUGAGAGGGUGAUCGGCCACACUGGAACUGAGACACGGUCCAGACUCCUACGGGAGGCAGCAGUAGGGAAUCUUCCGCCAUGGGCGAAAGCCUGACGGAGCAACGCCGCGUGAGUGAUGAAGGUCUUCGGAUCGUAAAACUCUGUUAUUAGGGAAGAACAUAUGUGUAAGUAACUGUGCACAUCUUGACGGUACCUAAUCAGAAAGCCACGGCUAACUACGUG